GACGGACGCUGGCGGCACGCUUAACACAUGCAAGUCGAACGAGAGAAGGGAAGCUUGCUUUUCUGAUCUAGUGGCGGACGGGUGAGUAACACGUGAGCAAUCUGCCUUUCAGAGGGGGAUACCGAUUGGAAACGAUCGUUAAUACCGCAUAACAUAAUUGAACCGCAUGAUUUGAUUAUCAAAGAUUUAUCGCUGAAAGAUGAGCUCGCGUCUGAUUAGCUAGUUGGUAAGGUAACGGCUUACCAAGGCGACGAUCAGUAGCCGGACUGAGAGGUUGAUCGGCCACAUGGGGACUGAGACACGGCCCAGAAUCCUACGGGAGUGAGCAGUGGGGAAUAUUGCACAAUGGAGGAAACUCUGAUGGAGCGAUGGAGCGUGAGGGAAGAAGGUUUUAGGAUUGUAAAACUCUGUCUUCAGGGACGAAAAAAGACGGUACCUGAGGAGGAAGCUCCGGCUAACUACGUG
rnacentral:rRNA from 1 species